AGCGAACGCUGGCGACAGGCCUAACACAUGCAAGUCGAACGAACCCUUCGGGGUUAGUGGCGGACGGGUGAGUAACACGUGGGAACGUGCCUUUAGGUUCGGAAUAACUCAGGGAAACUUGUGCUAAUACCGAAUGUGCCCUUCGGGGGAAAGAUUUAUCGCCUUUAGAGCGGCCCGCGUCUGAUUAGCUAGUUGGUGAGGUAAAGGCUCACCAAGGCUACGAUCAGUAGCUGGUCUGAGAGGAUGACCAGCCACAUUGGGACUGAGACACGGCCCAAACUCCUACGGGAGGCAGCAGUGGGGAAUCUUGCGCAAUGGGCGAAAGCCUGACGCAGCCAUGCCGCGUGGAUGAUGAAGGUCUUAGGAUUGUAAAAUCCUUUCACCGGUGAAGAUAAUGACUGUAGCCGGAGAAGAAGCCCCGGCUAACUUCGUGCCAGCAGCCGCCGUAAUAC
rnacentral:rRNA from 1 species